CCACGGUUGCUGAUAAUGACUCUGGUAAGAUGUAGAAGACGAGCUCGGGGAUGUUUAUUAUUAAAGGUCGGGUAUGGAAUGGAGGUUCAGUCUUGCUAGAAGUCAUGCCAAGAAGUUAUUAUGAUGAAGAAGAAAAAAUCAGUGGUGGUGUAGCCUCUACAAGCAAAUUACUGGCAAGAGUCAAAUUAUUGAACUUCCCACGGAGGCAAGGUGGAUAUAUACCUGUUCAGAAUCACCCCAUUGACGGAAGCGAAGAAGGACUGCAAAAGGGUUCAGAUAUACCGACCACCAACUGUGUCGACACAAUAUCAUAACUUCUGAUAAACGGCAGAUGAAGCUUGAUUAUACAGUUAAAAAUUACUAAUCAAGAGGCUGCAUGAAAGUGUUUUUCGUGUCAACUUUUAGCUGCAAAGUGAUUAGUACCCAUCUCGAACCUUCAAAUAUGAUUUCGGAAAUCGUAUAGGUGGCAUGUGGUUUGCAUUCAGGAGUCACUGCAGCUAAAAUACAAUUAUCAUGGUCUUGAUCUCUUGAAACCGAAAUGGGCGGAAAUGGCUGAACAAAAGAUACCGGGAAAUGCGAAAUUGUUACACAGAAGAUACUUUUGUUGCAAGUAGAUGAUGACCCUUCACCACUACUUUUUUUUUUAAAAGGCCCUUCACCACUACUUGCAGAAUGGAUUAAGAUACUACGUACAACCUAGCAGGGUUGACUGGAUUGGUUUGCUUCAUAGAUGGAAAGAAAAGAAUGAUCAAGUGUACUUUAAGAUGUUAUCGGUUAUUUGACUGUUGUCAACAAACCUUUGAAAAAUCGAAGCGGCUCCUAGACAGUUGACUUCAACCUUACAAAUGAAAGGGGAGGCCAGUUAGGGUUACGCUAUGGGCCACAUUAUGUGAUGAAAUGAUUGAUAAGAUCGACCAACAGCCUGGGGUUUAUACCAUCAUCUGGAAUUCGAUGAGUGCCAAUAUUAUCUUGGUAACGUUUGCUUAUCAAGCUCUUCCUCGACUUGCUUCUUGACAAUGAUGAGAUACGUCCAUGUUUUAUGUUAAAAACACGUGUAUUGUUUGACCAUGUAAAUUUGCAUAUUGUACGUUUCCCAUACAUUGAUUUCCUUGAAAGGUGAAAAUAUUGAUCUC